rnacentral:rRNA from 1 species
UGACAAUAAAUAACAAUACAGGGCCUUUUUGGGUCUUGUAAUUGGAAUGAGUACAAUUUAAAUCCCUUAACGAGGAACAAUUGGAGGGCAAGUCUGGUGC